rnacentral:sRNA from 17 species
CAAGACCGGCGGUUCUCCUCCUCCUCCCUGAGAGCCGCCGGAUUUGAAUACCGGGUCACAGACCCACCGGAAUGCGAAAGGCCUCUCCUCCUCCCUGGCCGGACGCUGACAAAGAACGACGGUGCCCCUCCUCCUCCCUGGCACCGUCGUUUUUG